rnacentral:lncRNA from 1 species
CUCGGGUCUCUGGACUUAGCUUUUGUGUGGUGUUUCCUGGGUCAGGACCAGAGUCAACGGGAUGGACAUGUGGCAAAAAGCCUUGGACUUGGCUGUGAUCUUUGACUAUUGGGGGAGGGAUCCUGGGUAUGGUGAGACGGUGAUGAGAGAAAAGGGUGACAAAGGACUGGCCUCCCUGAUCUAUCUCCUCAUGGCAGUGACCCACUUCCAGCCCCCUGGACACUCGGGUACAAGAGACUCAGGUUGGGCAUGGGAAGGGUGGGGUCUCCAUAGUCCACGAAAUGCCUCCUUGUUCUCAUUCAUUGCUCUCAAAAUUAGCUUCUGUGACAAAGAUUUAAUCUGUUUCCUACCUGCAGCCCUAGGUUGGAGAGAGAGAGAACAGAGAAUUGGGCUUUGCUGUUCAUUGAUUAAGACUAUAGGAACCAUGUUGGUUAGUAUCAGCAAUGGUACUUUCAAUGGAGAGGGAUUAAUUGCAAGCUGGACAGGCUUCCCCUCUGGGCCCUGUCCAUUCCAUUUCCCUCAGCUGAAUACUAACGGGCCAAAGUAGGACCAGAGGGUGAUGUGGUCUAUAUCUGAACAAAUCUCUGGUUCACUGAACAUGAAAGAGGGAAAGUGGGAUGGGGUGGAGUAGUUUCCCCUUUGAAAAAAAAUAAAUUUUAUGAUAAAAGUUAUAUUAAUAUCAACCCUGACUCCUUUGGUUCUAUUAAAUACAUGAAUAGCUGAAUGCCAACAUCCCCCGGGGCACACACAUGAUGUGUGCUCUCUGCCUUCAAGGACUUCACAGUCUAACUCGGUCAGAUAUUUGUAUUUUGUAGAGCAUUUAGGUCUGAUAGAGUUGUACAGUAAGGACAAUAUAUCUAUGGUCCUGACUUUUGAGUUUACUGAAGUGAUCCAUGCAGCUACAGACUCCAUGCAGGUUGUGGACAGUGUGGGGAGUGUAAGCAAAACUCUUUAGUGAAGAAAAUAAUCUAGUAAAUAAAACUGGGCAAACAGCUUUUUCCAUUUUGGUUUAGGUACAUUUCCAGGUUUCUGUCUUCCUAUCAUUUGUGUGUUCUUCUAAUCUAGUGCCUAUUACACUUAGGAAAUCCUUUAUAAAGUAGCACACAGCAAAUGAGAGUCCUUCUGACUUUAGAACCAUUUCCCUUUCUUCUGAGAUAAAACUCAUGCUGAGAAAUCUCCUUCCUAGUAUAUCCUAAGAGAAAAACUUUCACAUCCUAUUAAUCCACCAAUCAGCUAGUAGACCCAGAAACUGCCAGUAGAUGGCAGUGUAAGCCCAGUGGAAACAGGAAACUUACACACGGGUGUGUGUGUGUGUGUGUGUGUGUGUGUGUGUGUGUGUG